UACGUAGGGUGCAGGCGUUAAUCGGAAUUACUGGGCGUAAAGCGUGCGCAGGCGGUUUGCUGAGACCGGUGUGAAAUCCCCGGGCUUAACCUGGGAACUGCGCUUGUAACUGGCAAGCUAGAGUGUGGCAGAGGGGGGUGGAAUUCCACGUGUAGCAGUGAAAUGCGUAGAGAUGUGGAGGAACACCGAUGGCGAAGGCAGCCCCCUGGGCUAACACUGACGCUCAUGCACGAAAGCGUGGGGAGCAAACAGG
rnacentral:rRNA from 1 species